GAGGGGUAUAGUAGCAAUACUAGAGACCGGCGCACGGGUGCGUAACGCGUAUGCAAUCUACCUUUUGCAGAGGGAUAGCCCAGAGAAAUUUGGAUUAAUACCUCAUAGUAUAGCGACAUCGCAUGAUGAUGCUAUUAAAGUCACAACGGCAAAAGAUGAGCAUGCGUCCCAUUAGCUAGUUGGUAAGGUAACGGCUUACCAAGGCAACGAUGGGUAGGGGUCCUGAGAGGGAGAUCCCCCACACUGGUACUGAGACACGGACCAGACUCCUACGGGAGGCAGCAGUGAGGAAUAUUGGACAAUGGGCGCAAGCCUGAUCCAGCCAUGCCGCGUGCAGGAUGACGGUCCUAUGGAUUGUAAACUGCUUUUGUACAGGAAGAAACAUUGGUUCGUGAACCAACUUGACGGUACUGUAGGAAUAAGGAUCGGCUAACUCCGUGCCAGCAGCCGCGGUAAUACGGAGGAUCCAAGCGUUAUCCGGAAUCAUUGGGUUUAAAGGGUCCGUAGGCGGUUUGGUAAGUCAGUGGUGAAAGCCCAUCGCUCAACGGUGGAACGGCCAUUGAUACUGCCAGACUUGAAUUACUGGGAAGUAACUAGAAUAUGUAGUGUAGCGGUGAAAUGCUUAGAGAUUACAUGGAAUACCAAUUGCGAAGGCAGGUUACUACCAGUGGAUUGACGCUGAUGGACGAAAGCGUGGGUAGCGAACAGGAUUAGAUACCCUGGUAGUCCACGCCCUAGACGAUGUCAACUGGUUGUUGGGAAGGUUCCUUCUCAGUAACGUAGCUAACGCGUGAAGUUGACCGCCUGGGGAGUACGGCCGCAAGGUUGAAACUCAAAGGAAUUGACGGGGACCCGCACAAGCGGUGGAUGAUGUGGUUUAAUUCGACGCAACGCGAAAAACCUUACCUACCCUUGACAUGGCUGGAAUCCUGCAGAGAUGUGGGAGUGCUCGAAAGAGAACCAGCACACAGGUGCUGCAUGGCCGUCGUCAGCUCGUGUCGUGAGAUGUUGGGUUAAGUCCCGCAACGAGCGCAACCCUUGUCAUUAGUUGCUACGAAAGGGCACUCUAAUGAGACUGCCGGUGACAAACCGGAGGAAGGUGGGGAUGACGUCAGGUCAUCAUGGCCCUUAUGGGUAGGGCUACACACGUCAUACAAUGGACGGUACAGAGGGCUGCCAACCCGCGAGGGGGAGCUAAUCCCAGAAAACCGUUCGUAGUCCGGAUCGCAGUCUGCAACUCGACUGCGUGAAGUCGGAAUCGCUAGUAAUCGCGGAUCAGCUUGCCGCGGUGAAUACGUUCCCGG
rnacentral:rRNA from 1 species